ACCUGCGAUGGAUGAGGAGCUUGUGGCGAAGUACAGUUUACCAGUGACAUAGGACUCAUGUUGAAUAUGUUUGGAUGUAACUUUAGAGCUGGAAGUUUUACCACCACAGGUGUCUAAAAAAAUCAUAAGAUUGUUCAGAUACAAUUAAAUCGCUCCCGAGAGUUGAUCACAUGAAUUGGUAUUUAUCUACUGAUCAAGCUGUACUAGAAAUCUGGAAGUUGAAUAAAAACCUCUACGGAUUUCUCGACACACUUUACAUAGUGUUCCCCAAGGCAGCAGUGAUAUCGCUCCUUUCUUACAUACAAUCUACACGUCGGACCUACCCACAUCUAUAGAUACUACAGUUGGUACAUAUGCUGAUGAUACCGCCUUAUUAU